rnacentral:rRNA from 1 species
UAGGGAAUCUUCGGCAAUGGGGGGAACCCUGACCGAGCAACGCCGCGUGAGUGAAGAAGGUUUUCGGAUCGUAAAGCUCUGUUGUUAAGGAAGAACGAGUGUGAGAAUGGAAAGUUCAUGCUGUGACGGUACUUAACCAGAAAGGGACGGCUAACUACGUGCCAGCAGCCGCGGUAAUACGUAGGUCCCGAGCGGUGUCCGGAUUUAUUGGGCGUAAAGCGAGCGCAGGCGGUUAGAAAAGUCUGAAGUGAAAGGCAGUGGCUCAACCAUUGUAGGCUUUGGAAACUGUUUAACUUGAGUGCAGAAGGGGAGGGUGGAAUUCCCUGUGUAGCGGUGAAAUGCAUAGAUAUAUGGAGGAACACCGGUGGCGAAAGCGGCUCUCUGGUCUGUAACUGACGCUGAGGCUCGAAAGCGUGGGGAGCGAACAGG